UACGGGGGGGGGGCAAGCGUUGUUCGGAAUUACUGGGCGUAAAGGGCUCGUAGGCGGCCAACUAAGUCGGAUGUGAAAUCCCCAAGCUUAACUUGGGAACUGCAUCCGAUACUGGAUGGCUUGAAUCCGGGAGAGGGAUGCAGAAUUCCAGGUGUAGCGGUGAAAUGCGUAGAUAUCUGGAGGAAUACCGGUGGCGAAGGCGGCAUCCUGGACCGGUAUUGACGCUGAGGAGCGAAAGCCAGGGGAGCAAACGGG
rnacentral:rRNA from 1 species